rnacentral:rRNA from 1 species
UACGUAGGGUGCGAGCGUUGUCCGGAAUUACUGGGCGUAAAGAGCUCGUAGGUGGUUUGUCGCGUUGUUCGUGAAAACUCACAACUCAAUUGUGGGCGUGCGGGCGAUACGGGCAGACUUGAGUACUGCAGGGGAGACUGGAAUUCCUGGUGUAGCGGUGAAAUGCGCAGAUAUCAGGAGGAACACCGAUGGCGAAGGCAGGUCUCUGGGCAUUAACUGACGCUGAGGAGCGAAAGCAUGGGGAGCGAACAGG